rnacentral:rRNA from 1 species
AAUCAACGCUGGCGGCGUGCCUAACACAUGCAAGUCGAACGAGAAAGUGGAGCAAUCCAUGAGUAAAGUGGCGCACGGGUGAGUAACACGUGACUAACCUACCCUUGAGUGGGGGAUAACCUAGGGAAACCUGGGCGUAAUACCGCAUAAUACCUACGGGUCAAAGGAGCAAUUCGCUUUAGGAGGGGGUCGCGGCAGAUUAGUUAGUUGGCGGGGUAAGUGGCCCACCAAGACGAUGAUCGUAUCCGGCCUGAGAGGGCGCACGGACACACUGGAACUGAAACACGGUCCAGACUCCUACGGGA